rnacentral:lncRNA from 1 species
CGUCGUGGUGAGUCAGGUCGACGUUGGUGGGGGUUCAUCCGUCGGCAGAACUUGGGAAUGUUGCGGAGGCUCGGCCGCCAGAGUGGUUCGGCGAGGUGUCGUCGGAGGUCUGUCGUUAGUAGAAUCCCCGGAGGGUCGCCCCUAUCACGAACUUCGGCUGGGAGCUAUUUUAUACCCAACAUAUAUAUAUAAUGGUACCGGCAGGGUUAAGAGGGCUCAGGCCGACGUUGAAUAAGAGUUGUUCCUUCAAAAGAUCAGAAAGGAGGGGAGCUGGAUAGGCCUCGAGCUUAUUGGAGGCUUCGAGGUCGUCCCUUCCCAGACUAGAAGCCCGACGGACGGAAUUCCUCAGAGAGCCCCAGGGGGGUAAUCCUAGCUUCAAGGUCGGGCAUCGGACGUAGAAAUACCUCUCCUUCCAAUUGUGGAUAAAAGAUGGGGCACCUUUCAACAACCCCUUUCUACCGAACUGGGGGGAGAAGUACCACCAGUCCUUUGUCGAAGGAUGACGCUUGAAAGUAUAGAAAUUCCUAAACAAAGAAAGGGUUGGCUGGACUUCGGUUAGGUGACAGAGGGAAAGAAACCCUAUCAAAAAUCUAAAGGAGUUCGACACUACAGAAACUAAAGAAAUGUUUAAAAAGUAGAAGAGAGCGAUGACAAAAGGCGGAAGCAGAUGUCGAAGCCCGAUGCAGAAAGCUUCUUGGUAUAAACAGAAGCAGCCA